AUUGAACGCUGGCGGCAUGCUUUACACAUGCAAGUCGAACGGUAACAGGGAGCUUGCUCCGCUGACGAGUGGCGAACGGGUGAGUAAUAUAUCGGAACGUACCCAAGAGUGGGGGAUAACGUAGCGAAAGUUACGCUAAUACCGCAUACGAUCUAUGGAUGAAAGCAGGGGACCUUCGGGCCUUGUGCUCCUGGAGCGGCCGAUAGCUGAUUAGCUAGUUGGUGAGGUAAAGGCUCACCAAGGCAACGAUCAGUAGCUGGUCUGAGAGGACGACCAGCCACCCUAGAACUGAGACACGGUCCAGACUCCUACGGGAGGCAGCAGUGGGGAAUUUUGGACAAUGGGCGCAAGCCUGAUCCAGCAAUGCCGCGUGAGUGAAGAAGGCCUUCGGGUUGUAAAGCUCUUUUGUCAGGGAAGAAACGGCUGUGGCUAAUAUCCACGGCUAAUGACGGUACCUGAAGAAUAAGCACCGGCUAACUACGUGCCAGCCGCCGCCGUAA
rnacentral:rRNA from 1 species